rnacentral:rRNA from 1 species
UACGGAGGGGGCUAGCGUUAUUCGGAAUUACUGGGCGUAAAGCGCGUGUAGGCGGUUUGGAAAGUCAGAGGUGAAAUCCCGGAGCUUAACUUCGGAAUUGCCUUUGAAACUAUCAGACUAGAAUUCGGUAGAGGAUAGUGGAAUUCCUAGUGUAGAGGUGAAAUUCGUAGAUAUUAGGAGGAACACCAGUGGCGAAGGCGACUAUCUGGGCCGAUAUUGACGCUAAGACGCGAAAGCGUGGGGAGCAAACAGG